ensembl:lncRNA
CUCCAGCUCCGGGAUCUUUCUGCCUCGGCCACAGGUCCUCUUGCGUCUAGGGAGGUCGUGGCACUCCCUGAGGAGCGCGGCGGCUCGGAGGGCGGAUCCGAGGCCAGCUACAUGUGAGACGGCACUCAGUGCACUGAAGUGAGCGCAAGAACCAGGGAUUAUUUUCAUCUCUGAGAAAUAGCUGCUGACGGCUGAAGAAAGAGUCCUUGGACUUGAAGAAGGAAAUGGAAACGUUCCAAACCGAGAAGCAAAGAAUGAAAAAGCAUUGGGCAGAAUAUCUAAAACGUCAAGACAGCCAGGGAGGGCAUACCCUGUGCAGAAAUGGAAAUACCAUCAGAAAAGGAAGGAAUCAAAAGAAACAUUUGACAUAGAAAUAGUUGAGAAUUUUCCAACAUUAAUGACAGUCAUCAAAGUGUGGGUAGAUGCCCCAGCCCCCACAGGUAGUGUCUAUUCCUCCAGCUGUGGGAGUCGUCCAACCAAAGAGAAGAUCUCGGGAGAAGCCAGUGGGAUAGGAGGAGGACAGAGUGAGACCAUCAUUCCUGGUGUUUUAAGGAGCUCUGAAGAACGGGGUCCUCUGGUGUCAGGAAACCAAGCGUGAACCUAUGGUGUAGAACUUGGUGUCCAGCAGAGUUAUACCUCAGAAAUGAUACAGGAGUGUGAACCCUCUGAAGGGGCCAGCAAGUUGUAAUCUAACCUCCAUGUCUGCGCCUUACCUGUGUUUCUACCUGUGUGCACACGAAG